AAAUCAUCAAACUUCUUUGUACUGUUUAAAAAUCGAGUUAGUUUGUUGAUUUACUUCAUAAAGAAAUUUGUCUGUAAAGUAAAUGUUUGUUCGCAAUUCAGAAUCAUUGAACGUUUUGGUAAAAGAUAAGAAAGAGUGGCCUGUACUACGACAAUAGCACAUUAGUAAUGCGUAAAAUUUACCUUUCCACGGAUUUGAACCAACGAAUUUUCGACAAAGGCCAAAUCUUGAGACGCGAGCAACAAUGUUGUCGAUAGGUAUUGGACCAUAGUGGCGUGAAUCAUAAGACUCUAACUUAUUAUCUCCCUUAAAC